rnacentral:rRNA from 1 species
AUGUAUGAAAGAGAUCGAAUCAGAUUUGAUUAUAUAAACCAAAAAAAUUGGCAAAGCGAUGUGUUAUGCAAAAACAUGCUAAGGUUUGAAAGAGAUGCAUUCUUUCGCUUGUGUGGCAUAUUGAGGGAUCGCAAUUUGCUAGAAGACAGUCCACAUCUUAGUGUGGAACAACAAUUGGAAACCGGUUUGGAGACGAUUGGGCAUAACCUUUGGAAUAGGGUUGUUUCAGCCAAUUUUGGUAGAUCAUAUGGCACAACAAGCAUCUAUUUUAGAAAGGCUCUUCAUGCCAUAGGCGAGCUUCGUAAUGGUUAUAUAAGGACACCAUCAUUGGAAACCCCCGUAAAAAUUGCAAGAAAUCAUCGAUUUGACCCAUAUUUUAAGGAUUGUAUUGGAGCUAUCGAUGGUACACAUGUGUGA